GCCAGGCAUGGUGGCGCAUGCCUGUAAUCCCAGCCUCUCGGGAGGCUGAGGCAGGAGAAUCACUUUAACCCAGGAGGUGGAGGUUGCAGUGAGCUGAGAUCGAGCCACUGCACUCCAGCCAGGGCAACAGAGUGAGACUCUGUCUCAU
ensembl:misc_RNA Metazoa_SRP Metazoan signal recognition particle RNA